GCUCAGGUAUGCAGACCAGGCCAGGGACUGUGCUGGAGGCUUCCAAUGGCUUUUUCCAACCACAACAAGCAUUCAAGGCUUCUGUGAUCAGCCUCCACCUACCUUUCCAGUAUUGCUCGACAUUGUUCCCACUGAGGGACACCAUGCUCCUGCUGAACUCACACCUGCUGUUCCUGUCAUCCUCACCCUGUCUUCUCCCUUCAGCACCCAAAAUGGAAGUAUUUCUCCACCUCCUCUAGCACUUAAUGUGUCUGUUUCUCAGGGUACUCAUCAACUUAGAAGUUGUGUUACACAUAUUUAUAUACCAACUUCUAGGCUAUCAGCUUAUAGUGGGAUUGGUUGAUUAUUGAUUGAUUGAGUGAUUCAUUCAUUUGUUUAAUAGAUUUCUGAGGUUUACUAGGCUCUGUGUGAAGCCCUGGGAAUAUGGUAGCAAAAAAAGCUUCUCAUGGAGCUCAGAGCCCUGGUGUCCUUAUUUUUUCUUGUUGUUGUCAUUAACCUGUUUUUAUAGUGUAUAGAAUGCCUAGUCCUAUAUCAAGGCCUGGCACAUAGUAAGUACUUUUUAUUAAAUGAAUUAGCAAGUAUGUAAGGUGAAAAGAUUACCAAAGUUGCACAAUGACUUUGUUUUUAAACUUUCUGGCAUUUAAGCCUUUCUGAUAUAAGAGAAAAUAAAAAUUAAGCAGCAGAGACAAAGUAUUUAUUAGAAAUAAAUGAAAAUGCAGGACUAUGUCAUCUGGGUCUUUGGAUUAAGGCUACGAUAUGCCAGACAUUUUCAACCAGUUUUGCAAAUGAUAGCAAUAUUUAAGGGACACCGGUCUCAAAAGACUUUUUUUUUGGUAGGAAUGAAUAAAAACUAUGACUAUGGGAACUGUCUAUUCCAAGUAGCUCUACACACUUAAUUUGAGGCUUUUUUAGCAUAAUAAGACAUUUGUCCUCUUUGUAUUUGAGACAGGGAUUUCAUUUUACUUCCUACUGAGUUUUCCAGUGUGAAUUUUUCAUUAUAGUUUGCCCCACUUAUAAAGUGUGUCUUCUAUCUCACUGAGGUUUCUUUUCUCAGCUUUUUAGGAUGGGCUUCUGAGCCUGAACAAAAGAAUUGCUGGGAAAAGGAGACAGCAAACCAGGAAAGUGAAUGGCUUCUAUGAAUGCCCGUACUUUCUGCAGACUGCAUAAUGUUGGAUUGUUAGCCAGUUCCUACACUCUUGCUUUUCAUUGCGCAUAUCUUAGCAAUGUUGUUACAAAGUCAACUAUGGAAAUGUAAAGCUUGGGGAACCGCUUUUCUGCUCCUCAAACAUCACACUCUGAUGUGUUCCCUGCUCCUUAAAACACAUUCAUUCCAUUGUCAACGACCAAUGAGAAUAAAACAAAUUCAUCCUAAAGAUGUAAUUUGCUUUUCCCUCAUAGUAUUUCUUAAAUUCUUAAAUCCUUGAAUGUUUCAUAAGUUUUUUUGAUUUCCUUGUAAAAUGUUUUUCAAAUACAUUUAAAGUUUUAGACUCACUAGCUAGGUUCCAUUCUCGCAGUGAGUCAUUUCUAAAACUAUGGCAGGAACUUUGGGGCCUUGGAUGAAUUUUCAAACAGUGGCAUCUCAGACUGCCCACUGCGACGUGCCUUCAUCUGUUUGGGCUAGAGACAUGAGACAGAAUGGAAAGUCAAAGCAUAUCUUAACUCUCUUUCUUCAGUGGGGUACUGCAGACAACUUGCUCAAUCUUCCCAGCUGUUUUACCCACAAAUCUCCAUGUACUGAGAUGAGCUCUGGGGUAUCUAUAAAUCAGGUUAGUAGGCAGGACAUGCUGCGUAGGUACUUCCCAGGCUAUGUUAGACAGCUCCGGGGCCAUGUUGUAGCUAGACAAGUUACUGGAGUUGGUCUUGACAUGGGGUGGUGGAGAGAACCAUCCACCAUGCUUCCUUACUCCACUUCCUUAAAGAACCAACACUUAGUCUCUAAGAUGGGUCUUGGUGGUAUAGAAGACACUAAGUUUUCUGAAGUGAUAAAAGAAAUACUUUUAGGGCAAUAUUCCCAGUAGUCAUUUAGGGCAAUAUUCCCAGUAGUCAUUUAUCCUGGCAUUGAGUAUUUUGUUUUCAUUUGUUUCUGAUAAAGGACUGAGGAAGACAAUUAUUAUUAUUUUUUCCUUUUGGUAGGAAGCACCAGUUAGCAUGCAGAUCAUGUUGAUGUGCAUGACAACUUUGGCCCUAAUACUGACUUAUUUAUGUUUUAAUGUUAGAAAGUAGGAAGGUGAUAAUAAAAAGAAGCUUUAGACAACCCAUAAAAUGCGGAAGUUGGUUAGUUUCACCACACAGCAGAACAACUUUUGCACAAAACCAAAAUGGCAGCUGGUUCUGAGGUUUCAUGAACACAUAAGAGCCCAAAUGCCAGAAACCAAAAUAUUCUAUUUAAGCAAUUUUUUCCCUCUCUAUAGGAACCGAGCCUGUCAGCAGCAUAAACACUUGCAAUCCUGCCCUUCCUAGGAUGCAUGUGCUAUCGAAAAGGGAGGUGUUAAUUGCUGUGCUAAUUACAACAUGAUUGCUUUGCACUUGUUUUGCACUUGUAGGUGAUUAAAUUUUUAACGAAGCAUAUUACUUGGCACUGUUCGCACAGUUAACACAUUUCUCUCUCUCUCUCUCUUUCUUUUUUUUAUGCCUUGGGAGAAGUCCCGCAUGGCAGACCCUUCCCUGGCUGUGAUGUGCUGUUGUGUUUGGAACAAGCCUCUGUUUAGGCUGUCGGUUACAGGACUCCAGCUUCCUGCUUGGGAAAGAGCAGCAGCCUAUUAUAAUCAUACCCAGCAUGAUGGCACUGGCCAGAUGCGAACGCAGAAUCCACAAAGAGAAGCUAAGCCCCAAGUUCUCCCUGCCUGUUGAGAGGGAGAGGACUUCCGUGAAGCCUGCUUCGUUUGUUUUCUGAGCAGGUGUGUGAAGGUGAGCACGCACACAGGUUUCCCAGAAAAGCACUCCAAGUGAGGGCAAGACAAGGCGCUUGUUCUCUAUGUGAACACAGAUACUCAUAAGCCUCAAAGAAGCAUCGUGGUUACAGGCUCGGACCGGGAUAUAGGAAUGGAUUUGACUUGGCUCUGUCACUUAUGAAAAAUGCUUGCAGUCCUGAGAUGUGAUUUGUUCUCUGGGGGUAGAGAAGGAGAGGAGAGGACCGAUUUUUUUUAAGGAGAAAAUGUGGCAGAGCUGUAGAGACAGGCUCCAAGAUAAAUGAAAAGCAACCUUUCUGGAUUUCCUCUGCUCAUACCGUAGAACCAUCUGUCUCCACAGCAGCACGAAGCAGCAAGAAAUGGUAAACAUAUUGAAAAUUUUUUGAAGACUUGAGAUGAUUUGAAAAAACUCAAAGAUGAACGCUGUUGCCUAGAAAUGACAAAAAAUAAGACAAAAUUAGAGGGUGUGUGAAGAUCAUCUCAAUCUUACUAAAGAAAAAUCUAGAAAUAACAUGGGAGAUAAAGACCAUCAUCAGUAAUCAACUGUGUAUUAAAAAAAUUGACAAAGAUUAAAAAACAACAACAACAACUUUGGGUCUCCCAAAAGCAUAAAGAAAGCAAAACAGAGUUACAGGGCAUCUAGGGUGGACCAGUCUAGAGCUGCACUUGUCCCUUGAACAACACGACUUUGAACUGCGAGGGUCACUGAGAUGUGGAUUUUCUUCCAUCUGUGCCACCCUGAGACAGCAAGACCAGCCCUCCUCUCCCUCCUCCUCCUCAGCCUGCUCAACGUGAACGUGACGAGGAUGAAGGCCUUUAUCAUCGUCCACUUCCAUUUAAUGAAUAACGAGAUGAAGCAUCACACGCCAAGAGCAUGUAGCCAGAAGGGAUGGGCACAGCCUUCAAACCCAAGACCGCCUUCUCCAAAGCCCACCAGUGAUGCGCUACUGAAGAGCACGAGAGCCUGGAUUUGAAUUAUGCAAUGACUGUAUUAAAGGCAUCCGUAUAUCAUCAGGCCAGUGUUUCUCAAAAUGCCUUCCAGGGCAUUUGUGAGGUGCGCCUUUUUCCAACUACGUCUGUGUGGAGCCGGAUUUUCUUCGGCUACUUCAACCAAAGCAACACAUCGCAACAGAUUAAAUGCAGAUGCAGAUAUGAGAAUCCAGCUGUCUUCUAGUAAGCCAGACAUUAAAUAAAGGCAUCAUGUAAGAUUUGCAAAAAAAUGUAAA